rnacentral:lncRNA from 1 species
UAACCCUCCUCGCUGUCGGGAUAACCUGACCACCACCUCUGUGGAUAGCAUCAGAGUGGAGCACCACAUCGCAAACCUCAAAACAGAUUCCUCUCAUGUUCUCAUCACAAAGAGGACCUUCCUUGGAAGCCCACUGGAACCCAGCAACAACAGAAUCCUUGAUCUCAUUCAGGUAUUGCACUCCCUUACACAUGUCAACAACCAUGUUGGGCCCUGUGGUUUCAGGUCCAAACGCCCAUAUCUUCUUUGCGAGAUCCUUGUCCCAGCCAAACUCCUCAGCCAAGAUCUUGGAACGUAUCUUGGGAUCAUCUCUUGGACCAAUACGGCCUUCAUCAAUCGCCUCCGCAAGACCAUCCUCCAAGGGCCUAGCCUCCAUGUACAGACGGUUGUGCUUGUUCGGGGACUUGCUCAUCACAGUACGCACAGAUCGCUCCAAAACAGUCUCACGGAAUGAGACGACAGGGUCUGACUUGACAAUCUCAGCACCACCCAUGAAAUCAUCCUGAAGAUCCUUCAAGCAAAUCUCAAGAUGCAGUUCUCCAGCACCAGCAACAAUGUGCUCGCCUGACUCCUCCAUUGUGCACACAACCAUAGGGUCAGACUUGGCCAGCCUCUUAAGUCCCUCAACAAGCUUGGGAAGAUCAGAAGCGACCUUGCACUGAACAGCAACACGUACAACAGGGGACACAGAGAACUUCAUCGCACGGAUAGGAUGAGCAUCAACUUCUUUCUCAUUCGUCAGCGUAGCAUUCUUAGUGAUGAACUGAUCAAGACCAACCAUAGCAACGGUGUUACCACAGGGAACAUCCUCAACAGUCUCUUGCCUCUUGCCCAUCCAGAUGACAGUCCUCUGAACACUCUUGACGUAAAGAUCUUUCUUCUCACCAGGAACAAAGUUGGGACCCAUGAUCCUGACCUUCAUACCGGUAGACACCUUUCCAGAGAAGACACGCCCAAAAGCAAAGAAUCUUCCCUUGUCUGAAGCGGGAAUCAUCUUAGAAACAUAGAGCAUGAGCGGACCAUUAGGAUCACAGUUUCUGAUGGCAGUGGCAUACUGAUCAUCGAGAGGACCUUCAUACAGGUUCUCAACACGGUACCUCUGGGCAGUGUGGGGAGAUGGAAGGUGAAAGAUCAUCAUCUCAAGCAAUGCAGUACUCGCAGGGAGCCAAGUCUGCAUAACACGCUUCAUCAAAGGUUUACCCAUAAGGUCCUUCUCAUCAGACUUCAUCUGGACACCAAGCUUCUGCAACAUAGGCCACAACUUAUCCUUCUGGUCGUUCAUGCAAGUGGCGAUGAUCUGCUUGAUGGGUUCAUAACAGAACUGCACAAACCCACGCUUGCAGGUAGCGGACCCAGUGUUCUUGCUGCUCCAUUUCCUGGUGGCGGGGUCAAAGAAGUUCUCACCCCACAGCCUCUCCAUCAUCUUAGUCUCGUCAACACCGAACUUGGAAGCAUACAUCUUGGCAAAGUUGGUAAGGGUGAAAGCCCAUCCGUGGAGACCAGCAGAGAAGGCGACAGUUCCCUUCUCAGGGUAAACCUGAACAUCACCAAGGAGAGGAUCCUCGUACGUUGCCAUGAUGACAUUAGCAUUCUCAAUAACCCUCUGGAAAGUCUGGUAAGCCUCCUCACCAUCAACCUGAAGCUCAAGGAAACACCUGUCCAUCUUGUUCACAGUCAGAACGGGCCUAAUCCUCUCCCCAAGAGCCUGACGUAGCACAGUCUCGGUCUGAACACACACACCCUCGAUACAAUCGACCACCACAAGCGCACCAUCGGUAAUACGGAGCGCAGCAGUGACCUCAGAGGAGAAGUCAACGUGGCCAGGAGAGUCGAUGAGAUUGAUAAGGUACUCGUUACCAUCUCUGGCACCAGUGAAGCUCUUCAAGGAAGCAUCGGUCAUCUCGUAGUAGAGAGAGAUACCCGUGGACUUGAUAGUGAUACCACGUUCAGCCUCAUCAGCACGGGUAUCAGUCAUACGGACAUCACCAGCAACUUCUUGAGCAAUGAUACCAGCAGCAGCAACCAAGGAGUCAGUGAGUGUGGAUUUACCUGUCAAUCACAAGAUAUAUAAAAGCAUAAGAGACAAUAGAACCGAGUACUAGUGAAAUAAUUAAGUCUGAAAAUUAAAAAAAAGACAGUACCAUGGUCGACAUGGGCAAUAACGGACAUGUUACGGAUGUUGUGUUUGUAAUCCAUAAUCCUCCGAAGCUCAUCGGAUGUGAACUUCACCUACAAGUUCAUUAAAAUAAACAAAUAUUUAAGCUUAGAAUCAACAACAACAACAACAACAACAAGGCAAAGUAAAAGAUAGUAUAAAAAAGUUAUAAGGCUUUACCAUUUUGACUAACUCUUAUUCUUCACCUACAAUAUCUCUGCAAUCACAGAAACAAUAAUAAGAAUUAAUCAACUGAAAUGAAACGAUUUAAAAAAAAAAAAUUAACACCAAAAUAAAAUCUCAUAAUCUUCUGAACUUGAAGCUUUUCAACACAGAAAAAUAGAAGAACAGCUCACAAUCAAAUGGUAUUUAUACAUUUCUACGAACAGAUCUAAAGAUACGAGACAGAUCGAUAACCAAAAAAAUAAAAUUAACAACAACGAGUCAAGGGAUUGGUAAUCUAAACAUCGAAAGCUAAAACUAUGGAGAUUCAAUACGAAAACUAAGCAUCAACAAUCGGAGAUCGUAACAAGGAGGAGACGGACUAACAUUGGAGGGGAAGGAGAGAGAGAGACGAGCUUGAGAGAGCAGAGAUUGAGUGGAGGCGUUCGAUAUAUUCCCUUAUCUCUUCUAGGGUUUUCUCUCUGUUCUUUCGUGGGCCUCUUCGGCCCGAUACAAUAUUGGCCCAAUAGUGGCUAAUAUUUAAUAUUUUGGCCCAAUAUAGUUCGUGUAAGAUUUUGCUUUGAAGUUUUAUGGAAUUUGUUUUAGUUAUAGUGAGCAGUAUUACAAGUGAACAUAAUUUUGUACUAUUAUUUAAACUAAGACUUUAUGAUAGAUUUAUAGAUUAUAAAUAAACGGUUUGGAGGAAUCAAUGACGAAAUAUUAACUAUGUUUCCGGUAAUAUUCUAAAAAAUAUUUGACAUAACAAUAUUAUUUUCUUUUAUUAUUAUUAUCUUUUAGACAUUAUGAUAUCGAUAUGUUGUGUAUCUGAUUCUGUAUAUGGAAUUUUAAAACCAUCCAAAUAUGUAAAAGAGAAAAAGACCAAAAUAGCAGUAAAUCAAGUUUUUGUUUCCAAACUAGCACUCAAGGCCAAAAGUCACAAAAAUAGCACUCAAGGGGUGGGUUUUAGGGUUUAGAAUUUAGGGUUUAGGGUUUAGAGUUUAGGUUUUAGAGUUUAGAGUUGAGAAGUGAGGUUUUGGGGAUAAGAUUUCAAAUUUUGAAAACUAAAAAAAUUUAAAUUUUUCAAAAGAUAAAAUGCUAUUUUUGUCAUUUUAGUUUUUGAGUGCUAUUUUUGUGAUAUAAACUUAGAAAUGUGUUAUUUUGAAGAUUUGUCCUAUGUAAAAGGCUUUUAAAUUACGGUUUAUCAUAUUCAAGCUUUACGCUAUUCACAACAUUCCAGUGGAAUCAAACAAACAAAAGAUUAACAAUUUAUCUUAGGGUUGACGUCGAUUGACCCCCUCAACUAUACGCACCAACACCCGUUCCACCCAGACUUUAUACCUCAUCAAUUGGUUUCCUAAACUUUAUUUCUUCAUCAAUUAUCCCCAAUUUUAACAGAUAAAAGAAAUCACGUUUAAUAACUAAAAACGCGUUUAAUUAAAAACGAUUGCCCAAUUAUAUAUCCGAUUAAACCUUACCCGACUCUAACCCGCAACAUUAAAAUCAGAAAACGCCAAACCAAAACCUAAAUCCAAUUAAACUGAAAUCGAUUUGGGGCUUAGGGUUCAUCGAGUGAGUUUGAGAGAAGAGUUGCAGAAAUCGAGUUGGGUUUCGUCUGAAGAGAUGGGUGAUCACGGUUCGACAACUAGGCGACAGGUUAAUGGAAUUCCGACAAGCUGCUGGUGUGGAAGAGAGCUCGCAACUUUCGUGUCUAAAACGAAUGAAAACCCGUACCGGAGAUUCUAUCGAUGUGUAGUCGCUAGGCAGGUAAAGUAAACAAAAAUGAUAAUUGUGCAUGACUAGAUGAUGUGUGUAGGAUGACUAGUUGUUUGGUUUCAUUGCAGAGAAAACAUGACAAUUUGUUUUGUUUUGUUGCAGAGAAAACAUGAAGAUCAUCUUUUCAAAUGGGAGGAUGAGGCGUUUCUUGAUGAGAUUCAUACGCUUCAGGUGCAACAGAGGAGGCUUGAAGACGAUGUCGAGAAAUGGAAGAUGAUGAAGACAAGAGAAGAUGCACCUGUUGGCUGCGCUGGAACCAUUGGAUGGCUCUGUGGAAAGCUCUGUAAUAGAGAUGAUUGAUGAAUAAUGUUGUAAUUGUGUGACUGAGAAUGAUGUAAGGCAGAUGAAUCUUUGCAAACCUUAAGCUAUUAUCUUUGUUUGUCACAUGUUAAUCAACAUCUCUUAACAAAAGAAGCUUCUAAAACACAUUGAAUUGAGUUUGAAAGACAUAACACCAUUCUGUUUAACAAGUUAAAAACAUCCUUACAAACCGCAUCCUAGAGUUAUUACAAGUUGAAAAAACAGCACAAAAAAUCAACUUGUACUAGCAUAACCGCUUAAAGACUGCAUCUUCCUCCUUAGUCUUGAAUUGUUUGAGAUUGGCGUGUCGUGCCAUUGAGACCCGAAGUGCUUCCUUGUUCCUGAAACAAAUAUAAAAUGCUCAGAAAAUACUACCAAAACGAGUACAAGUAAAGUCAAGUGAUAGGAAUGUACCUUCUCUUUAGGCUCUUUCUUGAUCUUUUUCUUCGGGUGUAACUUGCAUGUUGCUGCAUUAUGAUCAGCUUCUCCACAUUUAGAACAAUGCAUGGUGCGACCUUUCCUUCCAAGAGUCUCUACUGUCUUCUUCUUCUUCUUCUUUGGCGAUUCAUUUUUGCCUUUGAAUCUCGGAAACUUCUUUUUCUUGUUUUUCUUCUUCCUACCAGGAAGUGCAGGCUCAGGUGCUUCAACAACCAACUUGUACUUAUCCUUUUUCAUCCAGAAACGUGGACCUCUAACCGUGCUGAUCGACUCACUGUAAGUUUGUUGCCAUAGAUGUGUUGAGAAGAACUCAGAAACAUAUUCAUCAACAUCUAAGCCUACAUCUAUCAUUGCUCCAUACGCAUGCUCACAUGGAAUACCAGUUAUCUGCCACUUCCCGCAUGUACAAGUCAUCCUAUUAGUAUUGACGUCAUAUGUCUGUCCAAAGAGCUUUACAUCAAACACACCAUGAGUUCCCGGAGUCGUUAUACACUUGUCAGCAUCUUCUUUCUCAGCCUUUAGCAUUUCGACCACAUAUUUUGUAAACCUCUGCUGGCGCCUAAGUGACUUCUUGCUUCUCUUUGCGAUUCUGACCAUGGCUUGCCUUCGGAUGGUCUCCAACAUAGGUACAACCGCCUUAGCUCUAGCUCCGACAAUGGUGGCAUUGAAUGAUUCAGUGGCGUUGUUAUCAACGUCCUCACAACAGCUGCCAAGCUUAUAGAAAGGCAGAGACCACUUCUUCGGUUCCAGCUUCAUAACAUCAUCGUAUAGUGACAUACUAUACUCCUGCAUCUUCGUGAGGUUCUCGCCGUACUGAGUAGUAUUGUAGCUCCAAGCUAGAUUCCAUACCACGAGUUUCAAAAGAUCUUUCUUCUUGUGCUUCUUCUUCAGGUUUUCAACAAUAUGUUUAACACACCUUCUAUGCUCAGCCUUUGGUAAUUCAGAUUCAAUAGCGCUUAUGAGACCCUGCCAUGUUAUAUAAUUAUAAAGCUUCAGACAGUCACGAUUAAUAUAGGAUAAAACAAAGAAUUUAAAGGUUGAAUUUUUACCUUUGAGCUGUCAGAUAGAAGUACAAACUUCUCUCCAUCUCCAAGUUUGAGAUCCCGUUUGAGUUGCUUGAUAAACCAGAGCCAUGUAUCAGCUGUUUCACCUUGUACCAAAGCCCAAGCAAACGGAUAAAUCUGGUUAUUUCCGUCAUGUCCUAUAGCAGUAAGUAAUAUUCCUUUCACUUCUUGCUUUAGAAAUGUUCCAUCAAGACCUAUAAUAGGUCUACAACUUCCACUCCACAACGUUCUAAGCUUCUCGAAGCAAACGUAGAACCGAUCAAACAUAUCUUCUCCAGCAGCAUUAGGGAUGGUUUCAAGGACUACACUCGUACCCGGAUUGGUCCUUCGAAUCUCGCUCACAUAACCUCGAAGAUGUGCAAAUUGAUCUGCAUACUCCUUGUGAAGCCAUUUCAACGCCAAAGUCCUUCCUCGUUGGCACUGAUUACUUGAAGGUAUUAGCUUCCACUUCUCCUUAAUCAUCUCUUGAAUCUUCUCAGGCAUUAAAUUACCAUCCUCCCUCAGUUUAUCAAGGAACAACCUUGCUAUAACUGGACUUCUAAGCAUUUUGCACUUUCCAUUUGGUGUACAGCUAUGAUACCUGUACCUAGUCUUCACCAACCACUUCCGAGUGGGUUCAUCAUAAGCACAAUAAACCCUCCAUUUACACUUUCCUCUCAUCGCACACUUAAAGCUCAGCUUCGUUUUAUCCCACCUACUUUGCUCUAUAUUUCGACCUUUGCUCAAAGCAUAAUGUAACACUGCCUCUUUGAACUCAAAACCAGAGAAGAAAGAUGUUCCCACAUCAAGUUUAUCUUCUGUCCUUUUGCGUUUUCUGUCUCUCGGAUAAAACUCAUAUUCGUCCUCAUCUUCGCUUUCUGGAAUCGUGUUCCUCCCAAUGAACUCCUCAUCCACAAAAUCUGCCACUGACUGCUCAAUCUCAAGCUCAUACCGAUCCUCCAGUUCUUCUUCUUCUUCUUCACCAUUACACAUUCUUUCACCUUCUUCGUUUUCGUUGUCUUCUUCGUUGGGAUUUCUGGGCUUUUGCCCGAUCUCAUACUCCCAAUAUUCUUCACCUUCUUCGUUUUCCCCGUCCUGGGGAACAAGAGUCGAGUUUGCAUUUGACUCCUCUUCCAUUGGCGAAGCUGCAGUGACAGGAAUGUUCCACUCUUGAUUUGCGCCUUCUUCUGGAACAGGAACCCAACUAUCUCCAUCAUGCAUCCCCAAAUCUACAGAUACAGAAAUUAAACCUUCUCCUAUUCCUUCUUCGCUCUCCAUUUUCGUCGAAGAACCCUAGAGUAUCGACUUUCCUCACCCACGAUAUCUCUGAUUCUUAUGAGAUGGGAAUCGACGAACCCUAAUCCCCAAUUUUUGAAACUGUCGAUUUUGAUUUGUGUAUGUUUUUGUUUGAGAUCCGAAAUAUCCAUUAGGUUUAAUCGGAUAUAUAAUUGGGCAAUCGUUUCUAAUUAAACGCGCUUUUAGUUAUUAAACGUGAUUUCUUUUAUCUGUUAAAAUUGGGGAUAAUUGAUGAAGAAAUAAAGUUUAGGCAACCAAUUGAUGAGGUAUAAAGUCUGGGUGGAACGGGUGUUGGUGCGUAUAGUUGAGGGGGUCAAUCGACGUCAACCCUUUAUCUUAUUAUUAAAAAUAAAUCUCCCAAAUGUAGUUUCCAAUUUACUGCUUUGCUCCACGCAUUGACGCUUCAUUUGUUCAACAACUUCAAAACCAGACUGGCAAACCCCAAAGCAACUUAUACAGAACAAUAUAAUCUCCAUUAACUUGGAGAACCGUGACAUCAUUAUUACAUACAAAAGGUUGAUCAUCAUCAGUCACUAGGAAGACUUAAACAUCAGUCGUGACUGCGAAUUAACCCUUGCGGCCUGAUUUCUCUCCUACAAGCUUCGUCUGGAUUGAAAUCAAAAGAAAAAUGGUGUAAUCAGAAAAAAUUAAAUACAAUUAUUCACAGGACGUGGGUGAAUAAGAUGCAACAGAAAAUCCAAAACCUUGUAGUUAUUUUUUCUUGACAUCAAAUCCCAUGUAGAACUUAAAGAUUCAAAUAAGAAUUGCUCUCUUAUUAUUAACCUGAGAAAAUAACUCAAAACUCAAGUUCUCAACCUCUAAAUUCUUGUAAGUGAUAUCACAACUUAAUAUCUACUUAUAUAGAACUUAUAUUUUCCUAAUCCUAUUGGGUAACAUAACUUUAGAUAACUCCUAAACUUAUUAUGUUUCCUUUUCCAUAUCUCGGUAGGAUUAGGUUUCCUUAGCUUCCUUCUCAAGCUAUCUUUUGUUUCAAGCUUAACUCAACAUUCUCCCCCUUAAGCUUGAACUCCAUCUUCGAUAGAUCUUGAACUCCAAUAAGAUCUCUCAUUUCUCUGAACUUGAUUCUUCCAAGUGCUUUAGUCAAUAUGUCUGCCUUUUGCUCGUUUCCUGGAACGUGCUCGACCUCUAGCAACCCUUUUUCCACGCACUCCCUAAUAAAAUGGUAACGAGUGUGUAUGUGUUUCGAUCGUCCGUGGAAGACAGGGUUUCUUGUGAGUGCAAUGGCGGAUUGAUUGUCUAUCCGUAUAACUGUUUGCUUGCAUAGGCUCUCGCUGAUCUCACCAAGCAAGUCCUGUAACCAAAUCGCUUGUCGAGCUGCUUCUGUGCCGGCCAUGAACUCCGCCUCGCAGGAUGAGAGCGCUACCGUUUCUUGUUUUGAUGAGCACCAGGUUAUUGGACUAUCACCUAAGUAGAACACAUGACCUGUUGUACUCUUCCCGUCAUCUUGAUCUACAUUGUGACUUGAAUCGCUAUAACCAACAAGUCGUGUUGUCCUUGCAUUCUCAAACGCCAACCCAUAGCUCGUGGUGCCUCUCAAAUAUCUUAAGCAUUGUUUCAUGGCCGCUCCGUGAGAUUCUUUCGGAUCUUGCAUAUACCUGCUAAGUACUCCAACGCAAUAAGAUAGGUCUGGUCGUGUAUGUAAUAGAUAGCGCAGGCAGCCAAUGUUCCUUCGAUAGCCUGUGGCAUCAAUGGACUUCUCUUCUUCCGCUUUUGAUAGUUUGAGCCCCGAGUCCAUGGGUGUGUGCGCUAGGUUACAAUCUUUCAUUCCAGCCUCUUCUAGUAUUCUUUCUGCAUAGCUCUUUUGAUUUAGCGUUAUACCUCCUUGAUGUUGAAUAACUUCUAUCCCAAGGUAGUAUGUCAAUCUCCCAAGGUCACUCAUCUCGAACUGAGCCGACAUCUCUUUCUUGAAUUCAACUAUGUGUUGUACGUUUGAUCCUGUAAUAAAUAAAUCGUCAACAUAAACUGCAACUACUAAGAGAUCAUCUUGAACAAGUCUUCGAUAGACUGAUGGUUCUUUUGAGCAUUUUACAAACUGAAGUUCCCGCAGAAUCGAGUUAAGUUUGUGAUUCCACGCUCUGGGAGCUUGGCGAAGGCCGUAUAGUGCUUUAUUCAGCUUGUAUACUUUACUCUCAGACCCUUCUACUUCAAAUCCUUCCGGUUGCUUGACGUACACUACUUCCUUCAACUCUCCGUGUAAGAAGGCCGUUUUGACAUCGAGAUGAUGUAUCUCCCAGUUGUGUGCGGCUGCAAGAUUUAUGAGUAACCUGAUUGUUUCUAUCCGUGCCACAGGAGCAAAAACUUCAUCAAAAUCUAUUCCAUGCCUCUGUACAUAGCCCUUUGCAACGAGUCUCGCUUUGUAUUUAUUUAUGCUUCCAUCGGAGUUCCUUUUAAGUUUAAAGAUCCACUUUAGACCAAUUGGUUUAGCUCCGGUGGGGAGAUCUAUAAGGAUCCACGUCCCAUUCUUCUCAAUAGACUUCAGCUCAUCAACACACGCAUCUCUCCAUUCUUUUGAUUCCUUUGCUUCGCUGAAGUCUCUUGGCUCGCUAUUUAUAUGCAUAAGAAGGAACUCUCCUUCUUCCUCGGCUUCUGCACAUAAAAGUACAUAAUCAUCUAGAUAUUUAGGCAUGCUAGUUAGUCUAGACGAUCUUCUUAGUACUGGCUCUGUUUCUGACUCUGUUUCUUCUUCCUCAUCUUCUUCGUCAUCUUGUAUCUCAGUUUCAAACUUUGCCUCAUUAAUAUCGGUCUGCUGUGUCGAAGACUCCUUGCUCAAGCUUUCAAGAGUCUCGUCCAUAAUCCCAUGGUUUCCAAAGUUUCCCAAACAAAUCUUGAAAUCGUCAGUUAUGCCUUGUUCUGUGUCCUCAUUCUUCCAAUUCCAUCCUUUGCUUUCGUCGAAAACUACGUCUCGAGACACAAUGAUUUUAUGUGUUUGCGGAUCAAGCAUCCUAUAUGCUUUCGACCCCGGCUCGGUCCCUAGAUGUAUAAGUAUCUGAGAUCGAUCUUCUAAUUUUUUCAGGUGCGGCUUCACCACUUUUGCAUAUCCUAUACAUCCAAACGUCUUCAAGUGGGCUAGGUUAGGCUUUCUUGCUCGGAAAGCUUCAUAAGGGGUUACUUCUUUUAGUACUCUAGUAGCAACACGGUUCAAUAUGUACGUUGAAUGCCUCACUGCCUUUCCCCAUAGAUAGUUUGGAAGUCUGAAGUGCUUUAAGAUGCUUCGAGUCAUCUCCAUCAAAGUUCUGUUUCGCCUCUCAACGACCCCGUUUUGCUGAGGAGUGUAUGGUGCUGUUAGGUGACGUUGAAUUCCUGCUUGAGAGCAGAAAUCGUUGAACUCCCGUGAGGUAAACUCUCCCCCCCUAUCUGUUCUAAAAGUCUGAAUCUUCUGUUUUGAUUCCUGUUCUACCAUUGCUUUAAAUUUCUUAAACUUCUCGAACACCUCACUUUUCUCUUUUAACAGAAUAAUCCACAUGUAUCGUGUAUGAUCGUCUAUGAGUACAAACACGUACUUGUUCCCAGGACGUGUGCUUGGUGUUAUGGGUCCACACAAGUCCCCGUGAACAAGUUCGAGUGCUUUGUUUGCACGAUACAUUGUGGCUUUAGGGAAAGUUUUUCUUACUUGCUUUCCAAGUAAACACGAACUGCACACCCUUUUGUCACCAGUAACUUGAGGUACUCCGACCACAAGUUCUCUUUGUACCAUCGUUUUAAUCGUCUCCCAAUUGACGUGACCUAACCUCUCAUGCCACCGUGUAGACUCGCUAGUUUCUGUUGUUAGUAGACAUGUCUUGUCUUUUAUACCCAUUCGUACUUUGUAUAAUCGGUUCCUGGAUCUCUUGGCGUUUACUAAUAACUUUCCGUCUCGAUCGUGCAUAGUCAAACAUUCUCCCUUUAGUCUUACGUCGCACAUAACUCUUGGUUCACCAUUGAGAUCAACAAAUUCGAUAGAUCCUUUCCCUUUGAUAUCGAUCCGAGAAUCAUCUCCAAACUUCACUUUUCCUGUUAUAGAUUCGUUGAUCUUUGUGAAGUAUCUACGAUCUCCAGUCAUGUGGUUACUAGCUCCGUUAUCCAAGUACCACAUGUUCUCUUGCUCGUCAUGGAUCUCGAAUUUGCUUGGAACAACUUUAUCUUCGUUUAAAUAUACUACCUCACACAUCAUAAGUUCAUCUGCGUGCUGUGUAUCGUCCUUGUCUUGUUCCAGGGCUUCCUGCAACUUCAGUAACCGAUCGGGACAGGUUGAGGCGUAGUGACCCAUCUUGUCACACCUAAAACACAUUAUCCUUGAUGUGUCUCUGCCUCCAUAGCCACGUCCAUGGCCUCUUCCUCUAUAGGACCUUCCACCUCGUCCUCUGUUUCCUUUGUAAUUGUCAUUAUACUCGCGUGAAGAUUGAGAAUCUGCGUACAUGAGUUUCCCAUGAUCUUCGGGAGUCUCUUCUUCUUCAGCCACUCUCUCUUCAUAAGCUUUUAGACGACCAACAAUAUCCUCAAAGCUGGUGGUUUUAAGAUCAAGCACUUGCUCCAGUGAUGCAACGAUAUGUAUGUAUUUCUUGCGUGGAAGGCUUUUAAGAAAUUUCUUAACCAGUUUUGAUUCUUCAAUCUCUUCUCCCAGCACAGCAGCUUUCGAUGAUAUUUCAGACAAUUUUCCAGCAAAAUCAUCUAUCUUUUCAGCAUCUUUCAUCGAGAGUCUAUCAAAUUCAGACAUUAAAGUUUGAAGUCUGGCCUCUUUGACUCGUUCAGCACCAACAUGUCGCAUCUUAAUAGCCUCCCACACCUUUUUUGCCGUGUUUAGCUCCCCAACUUGUAGGACUAGAGUUUCGGGUAUCGCUUGAAACAUUAGACCGAUUGCCAAAUCGUUCUUUUCUUCUUCUUCUGAUUCUGUUUCAACGAUGCUCCAAACCUUAUGUACCUUAAGUACAUUCUUCAUUCUAAUGCCCCACACGAUAUAGUUGGAUGAGGUUAACAUAGGACAUUUGAUCGUUGAUCCCCCCUCCUUCGGUUUCAAUGUCGUCACUAUCGCUAAGUCUCCCAUUGCUUUGGCUGGCUCUGAUACCAAAUGUAGAACUUAAAGAUUCAAAUAAGAAUUGCUCUCUUAUUAUUAACCUGAGAAAAUAACUCAAAACUCAAGUUCUCAACCUCUAAAUUCUUGUAAGUGAUAUCACAACUUAAUAUCUACUUAUAUAGAACUUAUAUUUUCCUAAUCCUAUUGGGUAACAUAACUUUAGAUAACUCCUAAACUUAUUAUGUUUCCUUUUCCAUAUCUCGGUAGGAUUAGGUUUCCUUAGCUUCCUUCUCAAGCUAUCUUUUGUUUCAAGCUUAACUCAACAUCCCAUAGGUGCUGAUGCGGCCUCUAUUUUUGUGACUAUCUCAUUAGCCGGACAUUUUGAAGUAAACUGAGUUUUCCGUUUGACAAGCCCCUGAAAUUAAGCACUGAUUAUCGAAGGGAAAUAAAAAUUGUGAAAUUGGUAUUAUGAUGAACUACUUAUACCACUACUUAAAUUUUGCCUUACUUAGCAGUUUAAAGUACUUUUUGUGGAUUACGAUCCACAUUAAUCAAAUCUUAUCAUUUCAAGCAUUUUAAAUAUAUCAUAUAAUCUAAAAAAUUAUUUUAUUCUGAUUAUUUUUGAAUAAUCACAAAUAAUAAAUAGUAAAAAUUUGAUGUUAUUGGAAGAAUAUCAAGAACCACUGGAACCUUAGCAAUUAAUCUAAAUUUGUAAUGUUGGUAUACAUUCAAAACAUGGUUGAUUGUUUCUUUUGCUGCACACCUUACAUAUUAUGUAUAACACUUAUUCUCAUUAGAUUUGAUAUAACUGUAUUACAAUCCAACAUUAUUUGUCCAAUAAUCUGUCAUCAUUUUGGUGGCACUUGAAUUUCCAAAGAGUGUGGCUGCAAAUAUAUGCUUGUUUUAAUAACCCAAGCGAUUUUACAAUGUAAUGUCAUAUUUAGAAAUUUUUGUUUUUUAUGAGAAAAAAUGUGCUUCUUGCUACGAUAAUACAGUUUUGUUUUGGCUAAUCCGAAUCUUUAUUUAACUGAUCAACUACACUAUGGAGAAGCAGAUUAAUGAUAAUAAGUUUGAAAAGGGGUUGGUCGAACCAGUUUUGUCAUUCAUUAUCUUCGACGGUGAUUGGUAUCUCUCUCAAUAACGCUAUCUUACAUUUUCUCUUUGCACCAAAACAGGAUGCGUCUUUGAUUAGAACCGCAUUCAUCAUACAAUUUCAAGAUUAUACGAUGACAUUUGAAAAACAUAAAACGACCAAGAGUUAAUUAUUCUGAGCCUAUAGUUGCAAGAUAGGAUAUAUUAUGAUGAAUGCUCUUCGACAUAUAGAUGAGAUAAGCAAUGCCAUAAAGAAAAAGAGAUUUUCUGGCUUAUAAAAUACAAAAAUACAAAAACAACUCGAGGGAUCCUUUAAAAAAAAGAAAGACGGUCUCUGUGUUAUAAGUUUUUAGUAGAGUUUUAACUUCAACACCGCAAUAAGGGAAUCAAAAUAUCUGACCUAACAAAACCUCAUCUUCCCUACACCUGCAAAGAAUCAACCUAAUGGUUUGGCUUCUACACCUGCAGAGCAUCAACCUAUGGUUAUGCCUUGGACACUAGCAUCUUAUUGCUUGCAAUGCAUAACAGCAUAUAACAACGUUCCAGUGAUAACAGGAUAACAAGAGUGCAAAGAGUGAACACAUAAGAAGUUUUCUCAACUUCAAGAGUGCAAAGAGUAAACACAUAAGGAUGUGGCAACACAGAUAAAGUCAUAACACCAAAACAGAGUAAACAAAAAUACGGUAGAUAUAACAACGUUCCAAUGAAAACAGGAUAACAAGAGUGCAAAAAAGAGUAAACACAAAGAUAAACCAGUUUUCAACUAAAAAAGUAAAACAUUCAAGAGGAUUGUGGCCACAGAUAAAGUGAUAUCAUAACACCAAAACAGAGCUAACAGUAAACAAAAUACGGUAGAGAUGGAGAGAAAAAGGUGACCAUAGUGAGUCUUGUUGGCUGCUGCUUAUAGCUUGUCUUCGAAGUCAGACAAGGGAGUCAUCUGUUCCUUCAUACCCUUCCUCUUCCUGAUGUCAGUCACAAGCGUUGAAGCCUGCGAUCCUGCCUCCAAUGGGUCAGACGACAUCAUCUCCCAAUGAUCAAACACACACUGAGGGAAGGCCUGUCCUGAGGUUGCUGCUCUAAGCUGACUUGAGAAUCCAAAUGACUCAACAACUGGCAGGUACGCCUUGAUGUUGUACAGCGGUGUUCCUGGCCUCUGCAUCUCCUCAAAGACGUGUCCACGCUUCUGAUUCAGCACGCUGUAGAUUCCACCAAGAGCUCCCUCUGGUGCUUGGAUCUCCACCAUGUAAACCGGUUCCAACAAUCUGGGCUUGGCAGUGAGCUGCGAGGCGUAGAUAACUCUCCUCGCUGUUGGGAUAACCUGACCACCACCUCUGUGGAUAGCAUCGGAGUGGAGCACAACAUCGCAGACCUCAAAGCAGAUUCCUCUCAUAUUCUCAUCACAAAGAGGACCUUCCUUGGAAGCCCACUGGAACCCAGCAACAACAGAAUCCUUGAUCUCAUUCAGGUAUUGAACUCCCUUACACAUGUCAACAACCAUGUUGGGCCCUGUGGUUUCAGGUCCAAACGCCCAUAUCUUCUUCGCAAGAUCCUUGUCCCAACCAAACUCCUCAGCCAAGAUCUUGGAACGUAUCUUGGGAUCAUCUCUUGGACCAAUACGGCCUUCAUCUAUUGCCUCCGCAAGACCAUCCUCCAAGGGCCUAGCCUCCAUGUACAGACGGUUGUGCUUGUU